rnacentral:rRNA from 1 species
ACCAGAAGCUAGCUCUCUGCACCUCUCACAUGGUCGCCCACUGAAGAUAAGCAGGGCUGCACCUGGUCAGUAUCUGGGUGGAGACCACAUGGGAAAGCCAGGUUGCUGCUGGAA